GAUGAACGCUGGCGGCGUGCCUAAUACAUGCAAGUCGAGCGGACGGACGAGAAGCUUGCGUCUCUGAUGUUAGCGGCGGACGGGUGAGUAACACGUGGAUAACCUACCUAUAAGACUGGGAUAACUUCGGGAAACCGGAGCUAAUACCGGAUGAUAUUUUGAACCGCAUGGUUCAAAAGUGAAAGACGGUCUUGCUGUCACUUAUAGAUGGAUCCGCGCUGCAUUAGCUGGUUGGUAAGGUAACGGCUUACCAAGGCAACGAUGCAUAGCCGACCUGAGAGAGUGAUCGGCCACCCUGGAACUGGGACACGGUCCAGACUACUACGGGAGGCAGCAGUAGGGAAUCUUCCGCAAUGGGCGAAAGCCUGACGGAGCAACGGCGCGUGGGUGAUGAAGGUCUUCGGAUCGUAAAACUCUGUUAUUAGGGAAGAACAUAUGUGUAAGUAACUGUGCACAUCUUGACGGUACCUAAUCAGAAAGCCACGGCUAACUACGUG
rnacentral:rRNA from 1 species